rnacentral:rRNA from 1 species
UCGCAAGACCUUGCGCUAAAGGAGCGGCCGAUGUCUGAUUAGCUAGUUGGUGGGGUAAAGGCCUACCAAGGCAACGAUCAGUAGCUGGUCUGAGAGGACGAUCAGCCACACUGGGACUGAGACACGGCCCAGACUCCUACGGGAGGCAGCAGUGGGGAAUUUUGGACAAUGGGCGAAAGCCUGAUCCAGCCAUGCCGCGUGAGUGAAGAAGGCCUUCGGGUUGUAAAGCUCUUUUAGUUGGAAAGAAAGAAUUAUAGUUAAUAGCUAUAAUUUAUGACGGUACCAACAGAAAAAGCACCGGCUAACUACGUGCCAGCAGCCGCGGUAAUACGUAGGGUGCGAGCGUUAAUCGGAAUUACUGGGCGUAAAGGGUGCGCAGGCGGCCAUGCAAGUCAGAUGUGAAAGCCCCGGGCUUAACCUGGGAAUUGCGUUUGAA